GAAGGAAAAAGAGUCACUCUGAUCAGAAUUUUUCUCCAAGGUUGACAAGACACAUGCUGGACAAGUCCCUUUGUGGGCCAAGGCUUCACCUUUAAAUUAAUAGUUUGAAACCUCAUUUAGAAAAUUUAAAGUAUAUUGGAAAGGUGGAGCCAAAGACUAAAUAUCAACAAGGAAUUAAAAGAUUAAGGGCCCAUCAAGAUUCCUCAGCAGGACAGAGCACUAGUAGUACAAGCUGGUCUUUCAAUGCCAGAACCCACAAUAGAAGGAAAAAAACUGGUUCACAAAAGUUGUCUCUGAUUACCAUGCUGUGGUAGGUAUCUGUCCACACACUAUUACAACUGUAAUAAAUAAAAAAAAGUUUAAAAGACACACAGAAGGCUCUCCAUAUCGCCGAGAACUGGGGAGGACAUUGGUGUAGAAGACCUUGGUUACCAUGAGUUCCGGUGCACUGUUGCCGAAACCUCAGAUGCAUGAUCCUCUGUCCAAGCGUCUGUGGGUUCAUAUUGUUGGUGCAUUCAUUGUGGACCUGGGAGUUGCUGCUGCCCAUAAGUUUGGUGCAGCUAAACCAAGAAAGAAGGCAUAUGCAGAUUUCUACAGGAAUCAUGAUCCCAUGAAAGAUUUUGACGAGAUGAGGAAGGCUGGAGUCUUUCGGAGUGUGAAGUAAUUUUAGAAUACAAAGGAUUCUUUGGAUUGAGCUCCAUAGAAGUUCAUUGCUGGUCUGUGUUCCUAAACUAUGAAACAUGAAUAUGUGAGCUAAGGAGUAGUUUCUCUCAAUAAACAAUAAUUACAUGGAUGGGUGGGGGGAAGACACAUAGAAAGAGAAACUGUGUUUUUAAUAGAAAGGGUCUCCCAUAGCCCA